GAGCGGCGAACGGGUGAGUAACACGUGAGUAACCUGCCCCUGACUCUGGGAUAAGCCUGGGAAACUGGGUCUAAUACCGGAUAUGACACCUCCCUGCAUGGGGUGGGUGUGGAAAGUUUUUUCGGUUGGGGAUGGGCUCGCGGCCUAUCAGCUUGUUGGUGGGGUAGUGGCCUACCAAGGCGACGACGGGUAGCCGGCCUGAGAGGGCGACCGGCCACACUGGGACUGAGACACGGCCCAGACUCCUACGGGAGGCAGCAGUGGGGAAUAUUGCGCAAUGGGCGGAAGCCUGACGCAGCGACGCCGCGUGGGGGAUGACGGCCUUCGGGUUGUAAACCUCUUUCAGCAGGGACGAAGUUGACGUGUACCUGUAGAAGAAGCGCCGGCUAACUACGUGCCAGCAGCCGCGGUAAUACGUAGGGCGCAAGCGUUGUCCGGAAUUAUUGGGCGUAAAGAGCUCGUAGGUGGCUUGUUGCGUCUGCCGUGAAAGCCCGUGGCUUAACUGCGGGUCUGCGGUGGAUACGGGCAGGCUAGAGGCUGGUAGGGGCAAGCGGAAUUNCCU
rnacentral:rRNA from 1 species